UUGGAGGAUUUGAAGACUUUAACUUGCAGACUUGACAAAUUUGAAAAAUUCAACUUGUAUACUUGGAGGAUUUGAAGACUUCAACU
rnacentral:pre_miRNA from 1 species